GACGAACGCUGGCGGCGUGCCUAAUACAUGCAAGUUGAGCGCUGAAGGUUGGUACUUGUACCAACUGGAUGAGCAGCGAACGGGUGAGUAACGCGUGGGGAAUCUGCCUUUGAGCGGGGGACAACAUUUGGAAACGAAUGCUAAUACCGCAUAAAAACUUUAAACACAAGUUUUAAGUUUGAAAGAUGCAAUUGCAUCACUCAAAGAUGAUCCCGCGUUGUAUUAGCUAGUUGGUGAGGUAAAGGCUCACCAAGGCGAUGAUACAUAGCCGACCUGAGAGGGUGAUCGGCCACAGUGGGACUGAGACACGGCCCAAACUCCGACGGGAGGCAGCAGUAGGGAAGCUUCGGCAAUGGACGAAAGUCGGACCGAGCAACGCCGGGGGAGGGAAGAAGGUUUUCGGAUCGUAAAACUCUGUUGGUAGAGAAGAACGGUGGGGAGAGUGGAAAGCUCAUCAAGUGACGGUAACUACCCAGAAAGGGACGGCUAACUACGUG
rnacentral:rRNA from 1 species